UUGCUGUCAAAAGACUAUCCAAGAAUUCAGGACAAGGAACGGAAGAGUUUAAAAAUGAAGUUCUACUGAUAGCCAAACUUCAGCAUAGAAAUUUGGUUAGGCUUCUAGCUUGUUGUGUCCAUGAAGAAGAAAAGAUGCUAAUCUAUGAGUACAUGCCCAACAAAAGCUUGGACUCUUUCAUUUUCGAUGAAAGUAAGAGGGCAUUACUUGAUUGGAGAAAACGAUUUGAAAUCAUAGUUGGAAUUGCUUGAGGUGUUCUCUAUCUUCACCAAGACUCCAGGUUGAGAAUCAUUCAUAGAGAUUUGAAAACCAGCAAUGUGCUGCUAGACGAAGUGAUGAACCCCAAAAUUUCAGAUUUCGGUAUGGCAAGAAUUUUUGGAGGAAACCAAAUUCAAGCAAAUACAACCAAAGUGGUUGGGACAUGGUAAGCUUUUCUAUCCUUCCUUCUUUUUCGUAAG